rnacentral:misc_RNA from 1 species
GAUGAAGAACGUAGCGAAAUGCGAUAAGUAAUGUGAAUUGCAGAAUUCAGUGAAUCAUCGAAUCUUUGAACGCGCAUUGCGCCCGCCAGUAUUCUGGCGGGCAUGCCUGUUCGAGCGUCAUUUCAACCAUCAAGCCCCCGGCUUGUGUUGGGGACCUGCGGCUGCCGCAGGCCCUGAAAACCAGUGGCGGGCUCGCUAGUCACUCCGAGCGUAGUAGUUACAUCUCGCUCAGGGCGUGCUGCGGGUUCCGGCCGUUAAAAGCCUUAUUUACCCAAGGUUGACCUCGGAUCAGGUAGGAAGACCCGCUGAACUUAAGCAUAUCAAUAAGCGGAGGA